UACGUAGGGAGCGAGCGUUGUCCGGAAUUACUGGGUGUAGGGAGUGCAGGCGGGACUGCAAGUCAGAUGUGAAAUGUAGGGGCUCAACCCCUGGGCUGCAUUUGAAACUGUAGUUCUUGAGUGAAGUAGAGGUAAGCGGAAUUCCUAGUGUAGCGGUGAAAUGCGUAGAUAUUAGGAGGAACAUCAGUGGCGAAGGCGGCUUACUGGGCUUUAACUGACGCUGAGGCUCGAAAGCGUGGGGAGCAAACAG
rnacentral:rRNA from 1 species